CUUCCUACCUGAUCCAAAGAGAAGGAGCACCUCUCCCCUUACACCACAAAAUUAGGAGUAACAUUUUCUUCUGUGAAUUAGAGCUAAAUAUGCCUACACUGGCUUCAGCACAUUCCAAGUCUCCUAAUUUGAAUACCACUUGUAUCUCUCACCUGAUAGACAUCCUCACGUGUGCACACAACCUGGAAUGGGAAACUACCUCUAUACAGGCCUCCAAGCAACACGGUCAGAACUAAGAUUUUGAAGAUGAAAUGCUGCAGAAAACCACGUGGGAAGGGCUGGCAGCUCUGGAAGGAGGUCAGCAUCAGUGUGACACAGCGUGGCUGUGCAAACAAGGACACAGGCAUGUUCUAGCAGCUGGAUUUGUGGGCGGGUAAGGGAAUCCCCACCAGUAACUGUGCCUGUGUCCUCUGUGGACAACCAUCAAGCCGUUCAACAUAACCCCUGCGUGCAAGUGAGACAGAAGGGAUUUGGUCUAUAUCGGUUUAAUCUACUAAUGAAUAAUUUCAAGCACUCCCUUAUGGAAGAAGUCAUCCGAUACAGUGCUGUUGUUGGCUAGGAAGGUACGUGCUACAUCUGUGCUGCAUGAGGCACCCUUUUAAAAUAGUCCUUCACCUGUUGCCCUACUAAAAUCCGCUGCGGCUCCAGCCACUGGUAACUGCUGCGGACACAAGAGCUCGAGCAGCAUGGCAGCUUCACCCAAAAGGAAAGGCCCGGCAGAAGAGCAG